rnacentral:tRNA from 1 species
GCAGUAGUAGUUCAGUGGCAGAAUUCUUGCCUUCCAUACAGGAGACCUGGGUUCAAUUCCCUGCCAUCGCA